rnacentral:lncRNA from 1 species
CAACCCAAGAGAAGAAAAAAUUAGAUUUUUAAAAAAUUAUUUGAAGUACUUGCACCCAAUAACAAAUUGAAAAAUAUUUAUACCAUGCUAAAAUAAAAUUAAAUGAGUAGCAGAAAAUAAAAAGCAAAGACAGACACACGAUCACAAACAUAAAUAAUUUUUACAUAAGAUUAACCAAAACUUAAUUAUAUGAGAAUAAAAUAAAUAUGCACAUCAUGAUGAGUAAUAGAAUAAUGCAC